rnacentral:rRNA from 1 species
AGAGAGAGACAUGCGCGCAUAUCAAUAAGCGGAGGAAAAGAAACUAACUAGGAUUCCCUCAGUAACGGCGAGUGAAGCGGGAAGAGCUCAAAUUUGAAAUCUUCAAGGUUCUACCUUGACGAAUUGUAGUUUAAAGAAGUGUUUUCUGUUGGAGUUUUGGUAAAAGUUCUUUGGAAUAGGACAUCAUAGAGGGUGAGAAUCCCGUAUUUGAUCAUUCUCCUAACUUUGUGAUACACUUUCAACGAGUCGGAUUGUUUGGGAAUGCAGUCCAAAAUGGGUGGUAAAUUUCAUCUAAAGCUAAAUAUUGGCGAGAGACCGAUAGCGAACAAGUACCGUGAGGGAAAGAUGAAAAGAACUUUGAAAAGAGAGUUAAACAGUACGUGAAAUUGUCAAAAGGGAAGCGUUUGACACCAGUGUUGUUUUCUCGAAAAUCAAUUAAAAAUGACUGGAUUUUGUGUUGUAUUGACUUUAUCAGCUUUCUGCACUCUUUUCUUGUCUUUUUUGAUGCACUUUUCGUUUAACAAGUCAACAUCAAUUUCUUUUGUUGUAAAAGGGUCAUUGGAAGGUGGCUUUCUUUUCGGAGAAAGUGUUUAUAGCCUUUGGCCUCUGCAAUCGGAGAGAUUGAGGUCUGCAGCGUAGAUCCUUCGGGGUUAGAUGACAUUUGUGCUAAGUUAUAGCCUUUCAUAGACAACUUGUUGACUAUGAUCAGUCAUGUAGCUUACUCGCUUAUGUCAUUUUACCUACGCUUAGGAUGUUGACAGCAGUAUAGACUGU